GACGAACGCUGGCGGCGUGCUUAACACAUGCAAGUCGAACGGGCCUGUCUUCUUUUUUGGGGGUGGGUUGAGUGGCGAACGGGUGAGUAUCACGUGAGUAACCUGCCCUUCGGUCCUGGAUAACCGCUUGAAAGGGCGGCUAAUACGGGGUGGUCCGGUUGGUCCGCAUGGGCUGGUCGGGAUAGAUUCACUGUUUUUGGUGUUUCGGCGGGGGAUGGGCUCGCGGCCUAUCAGCUUGUUGGUGGGGUGAUGGCCUACCAAGGCGGUGACGGGUAGCCGGCCUGAGGGGGUGGGCGGCCAGACUGGGACUGGGAUACGGCCCAGACUCCUGCGGGAGGCAGCAGUGGGGGGUAUUGCACAAUGGGCGGAAGCCUGAUGCAGCGACGUCGCGUGAGGGAUGGAGGCCUUCGGGUUGUGAACCUCUGUUUCCGGUGGUGAAGGCCCUGUCCGUGUGGUGGGGUUGACGGUAGCCGGGGAUGAAGCGCCGGCUAACUACGUG
rnacentral:rRNA from 1 species